GAUUCAUCUGGGCGCUGCAUGCCCGUCUUUUCUUAUAAUUUUUCUUGUCGAAAUUAACCGACUAAUUAAAAUCACUGUGUACAAAAAUUCUUUCGACACCACCCUUGCAACUUCACUUCAACGUUUUCUUUACCGUUAUCGAGUUUCGUUAGCGAUACGUCGAUGCGGUAUUACCGAAAACUACGAAAUUUCAACGCUUCUGUAAGCAACAGUGCGCAAUUAAAAAUCCCCGAGCUAAAUUAAAGAUUUAUCAUUCCGCUUAUGAAUCUUGUGCGAAACAAAACAUUUCCAGAACUUUGCCCCCAACGUAAAUAAUUUUUACUAAUUAUGAUUUUUAAAGAGCCUUAAUUGCUUUAAUAAUUUAAGGGUGGCUGGUAAAAUGUCUAGUACGAAAUUCAGAAAGAAACGGCAAAAGGAAAAAUAGCGACGCGAACCUUUGUUCUCGCAGAGAAAAUUUCAAUUAAGGACAAGUCAUGUAUAACGCGGAAGGAAUCCUGUAAUUAAAUCGGACUUUAAGGACCGGUCUCGUAAACUAUAUUUCUCAAAUUAAUAUUCGACGUUAAAAUUGCCUAACUAUAGAUUUGACGGCGCGCAGUGGGCCAUAUAAUAUUAAUUUUUGAUUCAAAUGGUUUUAUAGAUACAUGUGUUGUAACUUGUUGUAAAAUUUAAGAAGAAAGAAACCGCUUCCUUUAAGUCCCAUAUCCUCUUGUUCAAUAGUUUGGUUCUCACUUUAAGGUAAAAAAUUGAUGGCAUUGGAUAACUGUACUAACACCAUCUCAAUCGACGUGCGGCUUCGCACUUUCCGUCGAUCGCGUAUUUUUGUUACAUUUUGUUAAACAUACCCGCUUGGUUUUAAAUUGAAAUAUAUCUAAGCUAUCGAACGUAGUUCAAUUAGUUUAAUAAUUUAUAAAUUUAGAUAAAGUGGAAAUUAAUAAAUAAAUAAUAAGAUAAUAAAAUAUACACGUUGGAGGACACACAGACUUUGUGGCCGGACUAUAGCCGCCCACCAAAUGCGCAGCAUUUUAGCCCUCGUCAAUUGGUAUCGUACAGCUUGAUCGCUGGUAGUUUGAAAAUGUCGUCGGUACCCGGAAAGAUUUCCACUAUUCUACCCAUCGGCUAUGUUAGAGGCGGAACGUUUUCUUGCUUAAUAACGAUUAAUUUACCAAGCGCCAGAUUUGAAGACGACACGUGCCAUUUUUUUUUGGUGAAGGCUGCCAUCGCGUGAGUUGAUUAAUUGGAGCCAUUUAAACAUUCGAUUCUGGAGGCACAGAUCAACGAAUAAUCCGGCGUUAAAGCAGCAAAAUCGUUUGGGUCAUUACAGUGGGCGUUAGAAGGUGCUUUUCUGGAACACGGGUUAAAUGAGAUUUGACAGAUUUUAUGUUGGAUUCCCACAGCCCACAAAAACGGGAAGCGGAAGGUGAACUGAAAUGCCGAUGAUGCCGAUGAUCGAUACCUUUGCAGCUGCUUGUGCGGCGUAUUUGGUGACAGUCUUGUUAGCCUUAACAAAGUUGGUUCC